rnacentral:rRNA from 1 species
GACAGAGGUGCCAAGCGUUAGGCGGAAUCACUGGGCUUAAAGCGUGUGUAGGCGGAAUUGUAAGUACCUUGUGAAAUCCCACGGCUCAACCGUGGAACUGCUCGGUAUACUGCUUUUCUUGAGCACUUAGGGCUACCGGAACAAAUGGUGGAGCGGUGAAAUGCGUAGAGAUGUGGAGGAAUACCGAUGGCGAAGGCAGCCCCCCUGGGAUAACACUGACGCUCAUGCACGAAAGCGUGGGGAGCAAACAGG